GUACAAAACGUAGUCUUAUUAUAAUCUAAUAAAACUUCAAACAACGGAUCUCUUGGCUCUCGCAUCGAUGAAGAACGCAGCGAAAUGCGAUAAGUAAUGUGAAUUGCAGAAUUCAGUGAAUCAUCGAAUCUUUGAACGCACCUUGCGCUCUUUGGUAUUCCGAAGAGCAUGCCUGUUUGAGUGUCAUGAAAAUAUCAACCUUGACUUGGGUUUAGUGCUCUUGUCUUGGCUUGGAUUUGGCUGUUUGCCGCUCGAAAGAGUCGGCUCAGCUUAAAAGUAUUAGCUGGAUCUGUCUUUGAGACUUGGUUUGACUUGGCGUAAUAAGUUAUUUCGCUGAGGACAAUCUUCGGAUUGGCCGAGUUUCUGGGACGUUUGUCCGCUUUCUAAUACAAGUUCUAGCUUGCUAGACAUGACUUUUUUAUUAUCUGGCCUCAAAUCAGGUAGGACUACCCGCUGAACUUAAGCAUAUCAAUAAGCGGAGGA
rnacentral:rRNA from 1 species